UCUGCCGCGGCCGGGAAGUUCGAACAGAAGUCUGGGGAAGAGCCGGCGAAGAGCAAAGAGAUAAUACAGUACUCCCAGCUAUAGCAAGCGGCAGUUAUGGAGCAUGCGCAGCAGCAGGGGCGGCCGCAGGUCGCCGUUCAAUAAUACUCAAGGGAUUUGUACAGCCCUGUAGGAGACACCUCCAGAGAAAGUAACAGCUCUCAAUUGAUUAGCUGAGAAGCCUCAGGGGCUGGAUCCUGACAUGAACCAGACACCUCCAGAAUUCUAUCCCAAGCAAAAGAUUAUUUCAAGGCCAGAACUCACUCCCUGCUGGAGACUGACUACAAGAUCCACUGAGAUUGAUGUGUAACCUGAUUGGGCCCACAGUGAUGCUAGCCCCUUCACCAGAUGGAACAAUAAUUCCAGACAAGCCAUCAGAGCAGGUCACACCACUUGACACCUUCUCGCCCCCUUGCCUCUCCUGCAUUCCAAACCCCUCUCUUUAAAAUCCCCAUGUUCCCUCCGUAAACUGGGCAGUGCCAAUUGUUGGAAAGAAUUCUGGCACUCUUUUCCUUCUUAGCAUGGAUAAAAAGAUUCACCCUCUUUUUAUCACACCUCACUCUUGUUAUUUUGGCUUCUUUCUACAAGUGGUGAGCAACCGGGCCCCCUUUGCUGGUUAUAGUAUGAACUAUUUUAUUUUUUUUAAUCUACAAUAAAAUAAAAUACAUUCAUUAGA
rnacentral:lncRNA from 1 species